rnacentral:rRNA from 1 species
GCGGAGGGAUCAUUGCUGGAACGCGCCCCAGGCGCACCCAGAAACCCUUUGUGAACUUAUACCUUACUGUUGCCUCGGCGCAGGCCGGCCCCCUUGGGGGCCCCCCGGAGACGGGGAGCAGCCCGCCGGCGGCCAAGCUAACUCUUGUUUUUACACUGAAACUCUGAGAAAUAAACAUAAAUGAAUCAAAACUUUCAACAACGGAUCUCUUGGUUCUGGCAUCGAUGAAGAACGCAGCGAAAUGCGAUAAGUAAUGUGAAUUGCAGAAUUCAGUGAAUCAUCGAAUCUUUGAACGCACAUUGCGCCCUCUGGUAUUCCGGAGGGCAUGCCUGUUCGAGCGUCAUUUCAACCCUCAAGCCUGGCUUGGUGUUGGGGCACUGCCUGUAAAAGGGCAGGCCCUGAAAUUCAUUGGCGAGCUCGCCAGGACCCCGAGCGCAGUAGUUAAACCCUCGCUUUGGAAGGCCCUGGCGGUGCCCUGCCGUUAAACCCCCAACUUCUGAAAAUUUGACCUCGGAUCAGGUAGGAAUACCCGCUGAACUUAAGCAUAUCAAUAAGCGGAGGAAAAGAAACCAACAGGGAUUGCCCUAGUAACGGCGAGUGAAGCGGCAACAGCUCAAAUUUGAAAUCUGGCUUCGGCCCGAGUUGUAAUUUGCAGAGGAUGCUU